rnacentral:rRNA from 1 species
AGACAGAGGGUGCGAACGUUGCUCGGAAUUACUGGGCGUAAAGCGCGUGUAGGCGGACUUGUAAGUCGAUUGUGAAAGCCCUGGGCUCAACCCAGGAACUGCAUUCGAAACUACAAGUCUUGAGUGGUUGAGAGGGAAGCGGAAUUCCCGGUGUAGAGGUGAAAUUCGUAGAUAUCGGGAGGAACACCAGCGGCGAAGGCGGCUUCCUGGACACCAACUGACGCUGAGACGCGAAAGCGUGGGGAGCAAACAGAAUUAGAUACCCUAGUAGUCC